GGCAGAGUAGAUAAUUGUGCGUUAGAUUUAAUUAUUAUAUCUUAAGUGCUAGUUUUGGACGGGAAGUUGCCACUAGACGAAAACUUUAAUAAAUAUAAAAUUAGUAAAUUUUAUAUUUUAGUUACGAUACAAUUAUUGCAUUCCGCUGCC
rnacentral:ncRNA from 2 species